rnacentral:rRNA from 1 species
UGUGGUGGUUAUAGCGGUAGGGUCACGCCCGGUUCCGUUCCGAUCCCGGUAGCUAAGCCUGCCAGCGCUGAUGGUACUGCACUCCAGGGGGUGUGGGAGACUAGGUCGCUGCCACAC